GGAUGAGGUCAGUGGUAGAACACUUGCCUAGCAUGCACAAGGCCCUGGGUUCAAUCCCAAUCAUCUG
rnacentral:tRNA from 1 species